CAAUAAACGAGACUUGAUCAGAAAGCCUGUCUUGUCUCCAUUCUUCGCGUCUCUUGUCCCCAUCCCCUUUUUUCUCCCUUCAGGCCCUCGUGGUGUCCCGCAGGCCGGGACAGAUGGCGCCCAACGUGGGGCUCGAAGGUUUGUGGAUUUUGGGAAUGGCCUUUUGUCAGAUGUACCUCUGAGAAUUAAGCUGCAGCCUAGACAAUAGUGACGGUGGUCGCCGCGGGAGUGCCCGCCCCGAGGAAUUGAGACCUGAGGUUUCUGCAUGAUCAACCCUGAAGACAAGGACAACAAGAUCAUACCCGGGAAAAGCAUUGCAGAACAGUACACUUGAGAAGAAGUACGAGUAAUGAGGGCAAAGAAGAAAGACCACACAAGAGGGCUUGUGGAAGAGGUGAAAAAUAAAGACUGAAUGACUCUUCCAGGGGCAGAGCCAAGAUGACAGAGUACAGGAAACAUUCAGCCAACAUUCCCAACAUUCCCCACUAAACAAUUUUAAAAUAAUGCCUUAAAUAAAA